AAAUGCUCAAAAGAUGGGGCUAAAGUGUGCGUUCAAGAAGCCCUGUUACAUCUACCUAUAGACUGAAUGUACCUGGUCUGAAGUGGCAGAGUCUAAGACUUGUCCGUGUUCGAAGGUAAAAGAUUUUCAAAAAAAAACACCAAGAGAAGUCAGCAUUGGAGGGCAGCAGGAUCUAUUUGUCGACAAAAACCCA